GGUCAUUCACACCAAAGGCACUGCAGCGCUCCUGUCACAGCUGAGUGUGUGGAGGUGGUUGACCUGCCAUAAACGAGGUAGGAGUGGAGUUGACCUCAGGUGAGACCCAAGGAGAUCGAGAAACUGGGGCCCAGAGAGGUCAGUCGGGAGGUUACAGGACAACGGAACACAGCACCCAAAGGAUUGUGACAAUAGAGCUAUGCUUGUGGCCAUGCUAUGGGUGUUUAGCUGUUCCCUGGCACCAUUGUUCCAGCACCCUUUGAGUGACAGAAGCAUUGGUCCAUCAAGCUCAGCGCACCACAGAACAGACGCAGGAAGAAAGGUGAGAAUGGGAUACAGGGACCAGACACAGGCCCUGUGUCUCACAUUAAACCCAACAGGAUUGAGCAUCACAGUGAGCACUCUUGGAGCAAUUGCCACUCAAGUAAAGCCGACUCGCAGGGGUUCAACAGAUUUAUUGAGAUACUGACAUCCGAGUGUCCUCUUCUUCCCCAGCACUGCCUGCCUCUUACAUAAAGAUCCUGUUUAAACCCGAACUCGAACAUCACUUUCCUUCUCUGUUGCCUCCUCCCAAUGAAAAGGCGUCUCUGGUCUCCCUCCCAGCUUUCUGAGAUAAAGGCGCUCUGGAUGGCUUCCAUACAGCCCAGCUCUGGGCUCACUAGGCUCUCUAGAUGGCUGCUGAAAGCACCAGGGGACCGUUCACAUGGAUUGCUGUGUUGAUGACAACACCCCUCCUCGCUGAACUUUUCUAAUAACCUACCACAGCAGGACGACUUCAGACCCCUCCAGAAGACACAAGGAAUUUUUGCCAUUCAGAGCUCAGAGCCCUCUGUGGCUCCCACCGGGAAGGCAAAAACUGGGGAGCUCUUGACUCUGGGACCUGAAGAAUCAAGGUGGCCGGAGGAAGUGUUCACAGGCAUAAGAAGGCCCGUUCUCAUGAGUUCUGUGUUGUCAUGAUCAAAACACCUGGCGGCAACAGCUUAAGGGGGGAUUAUUGACAGUUUGGGUCUGUGUUGCCCGGUUCUGUGGAGAUGGGCAGAGAUCAGGGGGGCGGGAGGGAGUUGUGGGGAGCUGAUUACAGCAUGGCAGAAACUGCUAGAAAGACACUAGAGACCAGGUGUGACCUUCAAAGGCCUGCUCUGCGGCCUACUUCCUCUAAGUAGGCCCAACUUCCUAAAGUUUACAGAACUUCCCGAAAUAGCACACCAGCUGGGAGCCAGGCAAUCUACUCACGAGCCUGCGGGGGUGUAUGGCGCUGAAGGAGUAGCUCAGGCCGCCUUCCCUAACUCCAUCCCUGGCUGCUCCAAGCCACGACUUCAUCGAGUGAGGAGCGUGCGGUGGCCUCUUCCUGCUCCCUUCCUCGAUCAGCAGAUGGUGAGGGAAGGAAGAAGGCCAAGCUUCCGUGGCUGCCAUCCCACUUUCCACUUUUAGCGCAGCAAUUGGGAGCAUGUGGCCUCCUUCUCCACCCACCCCUGCUGUGAGUCUGAUUCACUGAGUGCCUGCUGUGGCCCGGUUACAGGAGGGCCACCAGAGUCUCAGUGCGAGGAGCACGCGUGAGCCUUCCUCACAGCCAAAGGCCGGAGGGAAAGCCAGGGGGACCUCCUGGAGCAGGUGAAAGGUGCCACUUUCUCCCCCGUCCAGGCCAACAGGAGACAGCCACCGGCUCCGUUUCCGGUCUAGCAUCCACAGUGGUGUGUUGAGGAGGCCAACUGACUAUUCCAAAGCUGCAGUGGCUGUUAAGCUUGACAGUGCACCCUGCAACCUCAGCGCUGCCUGCGGUGUGAGCACCUUCAGACCAGAGCUGGAGAGUCCAGGCCCCCAGCGUGGGGUUCUCCGUGGGCCCUGGAGAAGCUGGUUACCGAGAGGAGGCUCUUCUCUGCUGCUGGGCUCCCAGGAGCCGGUUCCGCCCAUGGGGACCCUGGCUCCCCCAGCUCUUUGCCCGCUUGCCCCUGCCCAGUGGCAGCAGCUGCUUUCUUCUCACCCUCUCUCCCCACGUGCAGCCAGUCUGCCACAUCUCUGCAAUGUCGUCGGGAAAGCCAGCGCAUCCAAGGAGCACAUCCCUGCGCAGAGGAGCCAAAGCUGCCCAGAGCUCGCAUCUGGUUUAGGUCGUCUGGCUUCCUCUAUUUUUUUUUUUCACUCAGAAUUCUGUCCCUAGCACAGAAAACUCAUUCUUGCCCCCUGGCUUAGACAUGAAAGGCUGUGUAUUCAGACACAAAAACAGUUGUCUGCUUGCUAACAUUUGAGAAGGGAACAUGUCAUCCUCAAGGAGCGCAGGGGCAGGCCAGUGCGGAGCCAACAAUGGAAAAUGGUUGCCUCUAAACAGCAAACUAGAUCGCUCAUGGAGCCUUCUGCUGAACACAGACGUCUGUGAUGCUGAACACACACCUCUCCACCAACCAUAUAUGACCCUUCUCUGAACACAGAACCCUCCACUCAUGUAUGCUCCCUCUGUAAACACAGACCCCCCCA